UACGGAGGGUGCAAACGUUGCUCGGAAUCAUUGGGCGUAAAGCGCACGUAGGCGGUCCGGCAAGUCGGGUGUGAAAGCCCUCGGCUUAACCGAGGAAGUGCAUUCGAAACUACCGGACUUGAAUACUGGAGAGGGUCGCGGAAUUCCCGGUGUAGAGGUGAAAUUCGUAGAUAUCGGGAGGAACACCAGUGGCGAAGGCGGUGAUCUGGGAAGAUACUGACGCUGAGGUGCGAAAGCGUGGGGAGCAAACAGG
rnacentral:rRNA from 1 species